rnacentral:lncRNA from 1 species
GCUUACUGCACUUACUAGCAUAUCAAGAAUGGUUCCAUAUCAAUCUGAAGCCAUUUUAACAUAGUAGUCUCUGUGUUUUACACUCUCUGUGCCUCUCCUGUGUGUGAACAUUUGUCUGGCCAUACAUUCCUCCGGAGCACUAACCUUGACACCAAGAACAACUUACUCCCAUCUGGGUUAAGCCAUAGGUGGAACGCUGCUACUCCAGCUAUUUCAAUUUGUCUGCAUAUUCCACAUCUAAUCUUGGUAAUGCCAAGGGUCUAGUUCUUGAGUUUUUAGAGCAUCUGAGCUUUGGCCAUUUUGGUAGGCUUUUAAUCCAAUCUGCCAUCUAACAGCCUAGAAAAAAUUUAAACCAAGCUCCAAUUUCUCAUAGAAACCCUGUCUUCAAGAUCUGCCACACAUAUGAAAAGUUGCAAUGCCAGAAGCACAUGCUUCUGAACAAAAAGUAUACCAGUGAAAACUAUUGUGCAGUGAAAAAGGCAUCUGGUGAAACGUGUUGAAAAAAAGGUGGGGGGGGAGGUAUCCACACACACCCAUUUCUUAUACACACAUCCCAUAUCAUUCUCGAUCAUCUCAGGAAUAGGGAUCAACAGAGUAAUGUACAGAGGUAUAAAAAGAAAAGCUAGCAAAGGCAAGCAAAGCCACCAUGUAGGAGUAAGGAACUGCAUAGGAAACAGUAGUAAAGGUGUGGGUUGUGUCCAGUUUUUAAAAACAGGACUUAUUCACAGGCCAUGGAGCAAACACCAUAAAUCUGGUCACUGGAUGAAAACAAAUGCUGAAGGCCAAAGCCUGGGGGUUUUCAGUUAGUAUUUCAAUCGGGAAGCCAAUAAACUAUUAAAACGGAGCUAUUCCCUAGAUUCUGGCCUAUAAAACCACCCCACAAGAGAGAAAUCAUCUAACGGCCUGUGUCUCCUCACCACAGUGAUUGCUGAUAAAAACAGCAACCUCAUCUUAAGAAAAAUAAUCCCCCCAUCCCCCGCAAAGGAAACAAACGUACAAAGAAGACAAAGCAUGCACAUGCGUUUCAAAGGAUAUGAUCAAAUGCAAACUAAUAAAAUAGAAACAACUAAUAAAAAGAAAUCUCAGUUUGAAAUCCCAUCAGGAAGCCCAUCUCUGAUUCUGCUCUUGGAAUCCUCUCAGAUUCUGUUCUUGGAAUCCAAUCCCUACCUCAGACUGGGCUGACACUAGCUUUUCUCCCUAGAGUAGUUAACAAAACAAUGAGUGAUCAGAAAAGAGAUGUCAGGAGUCCCGUGGUCAGAAUCUCACACUCAGGAAGUCUGUGUAUUCAUAGCGAUGGAUCUACCAGGAAGCCCUUUCAGGCAGACCAUGUUUGAAGGAAAGCAUCCUCCUCGGGGCCUCUGUUUUGAGCACACUGACUGAUCAGGGCUCCAACCAGUAUCCUUGUUUCCCUGCCGAUCCUCUAAGUUGCUUUCAAGGUGGAGAAUUCCCAAAUCACUAAACUGCCUAUUACAAUACUAUCCUGAGACAGGGAAGUGAAAGGUCUUGGUCCUGGAAGAGCCCUGCCACGCCCCCUGUGAAGUCACUGGCCCAAAGGUGGGCCAGGAAACACAUUUCCACUCCUUUACACAGUGAGUUGCCCCAGAAAUGUGAGUGUGAAGCCAUGUUGGUUCUAUCAGCCCCAGCUGAGGUCUCAGAUGAAAGCAGCCACCUGAGUGAUCCCAGAUGACAACACAUGGCGAAGAAGGACUGCCCAGCUAAACCCGCCUGCCACACAGAAUUGUGAGAAAUGAUAAAUUGUUAAGUCAUUAAAUUUUGGGGUUGUUUGUCAUGCAGCAAUACGUAAUUGAAACACAGUUAUAAUACUGAAGGCAAUGAGUUAGACUCUGUGGAAAAGGUAAUACUAAAUAGAAGAGAUGCUGAUAACAAGGAGCACACGAUUUACCUUUACUAUAUUGAUUCUCUCAUAGUUCUAGAAGUCAGAAGUCUGAAAUCAGUAUCAAGGGUAUCAAAAUCAAAGUGUCAGCAAGGUACCUCUAGAGACUCUACAGCAGAAUCCCAUCUUGAUCUCUUCCACCUGCUGGUGGCUGUCAGUAUUUCUUGGCUUAUAGCUGCGUAUUAGUCCGUUUUCAUGCUGCUAUGAAGAAAUACCCGAGACUGAAUAAUUUGUAAAGAAAAGAGGUUUAAUUGACUCACAGUUCUGCAUGGCUGGGGAGGCCUCAGGAAAUUUACAAUCAUGGUGGAAGACACCUCUUCACAGGGCAGCAGGAGAGAGAAUAAGAGCCAAGCAAAGGGAGAAAAGCCCCUUAUAAAACCAUCACCCCCCAUGAUUCAAUUACCUCCCACCAGUUCCGUCCUACGAUGCAUGGGGAUUAAGGGAACUACAAUUCAAGAUGAGAUUUGGAUGGGGUCACAGCCAAAUCAUAUCAAGCCAAACCAUAUCAAACCAUAUCUAUAUUACUCCAAUCUCUGUCACUGUGGUCAUACUCUUUUCUUCUGUCUCCCAAAUCUCCCUCUGCCUCCUUUGUAUAGGCAAUUUCAUUAGGGCCCACCCAGCUAAGCCAAGAUAAUCAUCACCCCAACUCAAGAUUCUUAAUCACAUCUACAAAGAUCCCCUUUCCCUUACAAGAUAGCAUUUAUAGAUUCUGGGAAUUAGGAUCUGAGAUCUUUGAAGGGCCAUUAAUCUGCCUGUCACAAAUGCUAAAACACAAGAGUUAAGGCACUGCAAAAACUGAUUAUAGGAAUUGGAGUUAUUCCUGUCAUAUCCAAGCAAAUCAGAGUCAAGGAACCCAGGGAAAAAGCACUCAGGACACAAAGUGCCAGCUCCAGGAACUGUCUCACAAGCCCAGCUGCUGAAAUAACCUCCCAUAGCCUUAAGACUAGUUUUACCUAGUAGCUGCUGAAACGACCUGUAAUUUAAUGAACUUUGUUUCAAAACAUUUUAUGUAAUAUUUCUCUUUCCCAGUAAAAUCCCAACAUUUCCUUUGUACUUUGGACAUACCAAAAACCACUCUGGUCUUUGCAUAUAUCCCAAUUUACAAUUCUGUUUUUAUAUAUAUAUAUUCCUAAAUAAAACUUUC